AAAGUCGUAACAAGGUUUCCGUAGGUGAACCUGCGGAAGGAUCAUUAAUGAACUUGUGGUUGUUGCUGGCUAGUGUCUCUAGCAUGUGCACACGCACCUUCAUCCCACUUUACACCUGUGCACCUUUUGUAGUAUGAUUGCAAUGAGGGAGUUGUCUACAUUUAUUUGUAGGUCUCUCUAUCUCUGAGCGUCUACUACGUUUUUUUAUACACACACAAUAGUCAUUGAAUGUAUAUUUGAUUUUAUAUUGAAAAAACAACUUUCAACAACGGAUCUCUUGGCUCUC
rnacentral:misc_RNA from 1 species